rnacentral:rRNA from 1 species
GAUGAACGCUGGCGGCGUGCCUAAUACAUGCAGGUCGAGCGAACAGACGAGGAGCUUGCUCCUUUGACGUUAGCGGCGGACGGGUGAGUAACACGUGGGUAACCUACCUAUAAGACUGGGAUAACUUCGGGAAACCGGAGCUAAUACCGGAUAAUAUUUCGAACCGCAUGGUUCGAUAGUGAAAGAUGGCUUUGCUAUCACUUAUAGAUGGACCUGCGCCGUAUUAGCUAGUUGGUAAGGUAACGGCUUACCAAGGCAACGAUACGUAGCCGACCUGAGAGGGUGAUCGGCCACACUGGAACUGAGACACGGUCCAGACUCCUACGGGAGGCAGCAGUAGGGAAUCUUCCGCAAAGGGCGAAAGCCUGACGGAGCAACGCCGCGUGAGUGAUGAAGGUCUUCGGAUCGUAAAACUCUGUUAUUAGGGAAGAACAAACGUGUAAGUAACUGUGCACGUCUUGACGGUACCUAAUCAGAAAGCCACGGCUAACUACGUG